rnacentral:rRNA from 1 species
AACGUACGCUGGCGGCACGCCUAACACAUGCAAGUCGAACGAAGUAGCAAUACUUAGUGGCAAACGGGUGAGUAAUAUGUGGGAAUCUACCUUUCGGUCUGGAAUAACAUGGUGAAAACUAUGCUAAUACCGGAUAAGACCACAUUUCAUAAGAAAUGCGGGAAAAGGAGUCUCAAACUUCGCUUAGGGAUGAGUUCGCGGAACAUUAGCUUGUUGGUGAGAUAAAAGCUCACCAAGGCUACGAUGUUUAGCCGGCCUGAGAGGGUGAUCGGCCACACUGGAACUGAGACACGGUCCAGACUCCUACGGGAGGCAGCAGUGGGGAAUAUUGCGCAAUGGGCGAAAGCCUGACGCAGCAACGCCGUGUGAGCGAUG